AUACAGGGCAAUCUGUCUUAAGUAGAAAUAAAUUAAUAUAAAAAAUGAAUCCUAGAUAUUUUUCCCUUCAAGUCAAAUGUCAUGU
rnacentral:pre_miRNA from 1 species